GGAGUUUGGACCGUGUCUCAGUUCCAAUGUGGCCGUUCACCCUCUCAGGCCGGCUACUGAUCGUCGCCUUGGUGGGCCGUUACCUCACCAACUAGCUAAUCAGACGCGGAUCCAUCUCACACCGAUAAAUCUUUUACCACAACCCCAUGCGGGGUCGUGGUCUUAUGCGGUAUUACCAGCCGUUUCCAGCUGCUAUCCCCCUGUGUGAGGCAGGUUAUCCACGCGUUACUCACCCGUCCGCCACUAAGUUAAGUUCCAUCCGAAAAUUUCCCUUAACCCCGUUCGACUUGCAUGUGUUAGGCACGCCGCCAGCGUUCAUC
rnacentral:rRNA from 1 species